rnacentral:rRNA from 1 species
UACGUAGGGGGCAAGCGUUGUCCGGAUUCAUUGGGCGUAAAGAGCGUGUAGGCGGCCAGGUAGGUCGGUUGUGAAAACUGGAGGCUCAACCUUCAGAGGUCGACCGAAACCAUCUGGCUAGAGUCCGGGAGAGGAGAGUGGAAUUCCUGGUGUAGCGGUGAAAUGCGCAGAUAUCAGGAAGAACACCCGUGGCGAAGGCGGCCCUCUGGUCCAGUACUGACACUCAAGUGCGAAAGCGUGGGGAGCAAACAGG